UAAGCUGGAAAUGCAGGCGUUAAAAUAUUUUAAGUUGUAAAUAUUAUUCCACAGCCAGUUCAAGUAACAGGAUGGACGCUAGCCGCCUGUUCAAACGCAAUCAGUUUAUAUGGAACCUACAACUGGAGUCGAGGUGUGGGUGAUAGUCAGACAGUAGGACUGCUGUACUCUGGCUUAUAUCGGACCUUAUGGGCGGCUAGUGUUGCUUGGAUUCUUGUAGCAUGUGUCAGAGGGAAAGGAGGUAUUAUCAACCAGGUGUUAUCGUGGAAUGGAAUGAAAAUCCUCGAUCGCUUGACGUACAUGGUUUACCUGUUACAUCCAUUGGUUCAAUAUGCAUACAUCGGUCAACUAAGACAGAACACAGACGCACGAGCCAUCACUUUUAUAUACAUGUACUUUGGACAUGUGAUUAUAUCAUAUGCGUUGGCGAGUUUUAGUGUAGUUUUGUUCGAGAUUCCCAUCACGAAGAUUCAGAAACAACUCCUCUUGCAGCGGGUUGGUCAGCACCGGAGGGUUCCUGAUGGUGCUCGUGAUGAGGAAUGAAACGUUACAAGUUAUAACUGACUGGAUGAAAACACGUUCUGAACAAGACAGUGUUUUACUACCAGUAAAAUAAUCACACUAGUUACUCAAACUGUUUCAGUUUGUGUUUUUAACAUUUGUUUGUUUAUGUAUAUCUUUUUUUGUUUAUGAGUUUGAAAAACAACAAAAAAUACCAUUUUACAUGUACUUAAGUACACGCGCUUUUAAGUCUAGACCCAAGGCUUUGUCGUUAUUUUAUUAUGGUUAUCAAAAAACUGUUUUCACGCGUAGAAUGUCUAGUGCAUUGUAGCAAUAAGCAGGUUAUUUAUAAAAACUCUUCAAU